CACUAUUGGUUAGAGCCUGUAAGUAAGCAUUUCACUGUAAGGUCUACACCUGUUGUAUUCGGUGCACGUGACAAAUAAACUUUGAUUUGAUUUAUAACUACUAAGGUUAGGUAGAUAGCUAACAUACCGGUACAUACUGUUGUAAUGAUAUGCUAUGUGGUUUGUAAGGACAGCGUAGCUAACAAAUUGUCAGCGAACAUAACGUGUAAGGUAAUUUAUUUACAAAGUAUUUACUUUAUUACAUCGAGUAGCAAGCUACCGUGAGGACGCGCUCUAUCGACACUGCGGCUUGAGCAUGCUUUUGGUGCAGUCGAUAGCGUGCUGGACUUCGGGCAAGAAGGUUGAGGGUUCGAAACCUGCUCCCUGCUUGUUUCAUUUGAAGUCGUGCACAAUUAUCAGUUUAUUAUUUGGUUUAUAUUGCCCAUUCAUUGUCAGUUAGAGAUACAGUAGUGCAUUGGUACCCAAAAGCAUAAUCAGUGCUCAAACUCCCCCUUGGUCGUUAGGGCAAAUCUGGUCUGUGAUAGAACAGGGGGUUUUCACACCUUGCUUGGCUAUUAGACUAUUCUUUAGUAAAAGUUGAAUAGUCUAUUGUUCAGCUAUUAGCCCCCCUCCCCAACUUGCAACAAAUUGUUGUUACUCCCAUCUCGUUCCUCGCCCUCUUCCACGCGUCAUUCUCAGCCUGAGUGGCUCGCUUGUGGGCGUGCUGGCAGGAUAUGGCAGCAUCUUCGGUUGUGCAUCAAGAAUUCUGCAUAGCAAGUUUGUAUGAAGGUCUGGUUAUUCAAAAGCAAAUUGUUAUAUGCUGUGGAGGUACAUUUGUGUAUUUUUGUCGAGAGGAAAACUUUAUUUUCAAUCAAAAAUAAUUGUUCUGAAAGCAACUUUUUUUUUAUUUUCAAUCAAAAAUAAUUGUUGUGAAAGCAAAAGAGGCUUCGAAGUAAAAAAACUAAUUUGCAAUCAAAUAUUUUGUAAUAGAGCGCCAGACUUAUUCGAGAACAAAACAUGUAUUUGAAAACAAUUUAAUUUCGCUAUCAACCACCCUCCAUUUUGGCCAUUUUUUGAGUGUCAGUUUGGCUACAACCAAUAUUGUUCAGCCUUUCUUUCCGACACAAAGGAAGUCAUAGCGGACACCUACGAAGGACUGUGUGAUGAUGGCAUCUCAGGUAAGCAGCACUGGGCGUUCUUCUGUCCAUCUUCUACAUAGCUAGUAGUUAGCUCCUACGAUUCAGUGUCGGUUCAUAACAUUCUACUAUAUUACAUAGAUACAAACAUCCCGUAGAAUAAUAAAUCAUGGAAUUAUUAUUAUCAAGCUAACCAAAAACAUUUACCUACGUAUGCCUGUUCUCGCCAUUUUCAGUUGAAUUCAUCUAACUUUCUUUCAUGGCAACUCAUAAGCAGGCCAUGUCCUAUUUGUUUCAUAGUCGAGAUAUAUAAUCAUAUUUCAUGACAGUGUAACGGUUAGCUUUUUUUUACAGAAGGAUGAAAGAACACAAUAUGUCUGUCAGGGAAUGCUAUUCUGAUAUGUCAGAUGAAGAGUUAGACCAGAAAGUCAGCGCCAUAAAGGCAAGGAUGUAUGCAGGCUUUAGAAUGGUCAAAGGAUGUCUCAGAGCAAUGGGCCAUCAUGUACAAUGGCAAAGAGUCUUUGCAGCGUGUAGAUAGAUGGUGCAGGUAUCAUCGCCAGAAUGAUCCAGCUUCGUUGCAUUGCUCGGCAAAAAUACUCUGUUCCUGCUCCCCUGUCUCUCGUUCACAUUGAUACAAAUCAUAAAUUGAUAAGGUACUAAGAUGUAUAAUGUCUCCAUCAAAUCUAAGAAGUUAUUUUAACUUUUUUAUUCUUACUUAUUCAUAGACACAUUUUCAAUGAUGUAUAUACAAUUGGAGUUGUUCUUCAUCAACUGGUAAUACAUGAAUAAUGAAGCAGGUUAAUAGGUUAAACAUUUCACUUUUAAUUCCAAUGCUUUUUUUUCCAGAUACAACAUUGUCAUCUUUGGCAGUAUAGAUGGAUUUUCAAGGAAGAGUGCGAGCUGAUCAAGGGGUCGAACAUGUAGAUAUUGCCAGAUGUAUGUUCACUGUCCGAGGAAGAGGCAGUGGGAACUUUAUUCCUGGCAUAAGUGUCCAUAACCAGAGAGUAGAACGCUUAUGGAGAGAUGUUUGGAGUGCUGUGACAUGUCAGUACUACAACUUGCUGCACAGUUUGGAGGAAGAAGGCUACCUUGACCUGUCGAAUUCUAUCCACCUCUUCUGUGUGGGAUAUGUGUUCCUACCUCGUCUGCGGGCAGAUCUGCAGCAUUUCACAGAGAGUUGGAAUAAUCACCCUUUAAGUACAGAGCAUAAAGUACUAUGUAGCCACUUAGUGUGGACACCAGGUGAGACUACACACACACAGUUAUAUCAGCUGUGUUGGUGAACCCCUCCCGCAUCUGAACUGGCUGACACAGAGGGC